GUCUACGGCCAUGCCACCCUGAACAAGCCCAAUGUCUGAUCUCGGAAGCUAAGCAGGGUCAGGCCUGGUUAGUACUUGGAUGGGAGACCACCUAGGAAGACCAGGUGCUUUAAUAU
rnacentral:rRNA from 1 species